CCGCGUUGCGUGUCGCACGUCGCCCGGCCCCGCCCCUCACGGCGAGAUGCAUAUGGCUGCUCCCAGGCGCCUUCGCGACCAUAACAGCGACAGCAGACAGGGGGCUUGGAUGUCACCAUAGCGCUCACAGACGCAGCCAGAUGGAAUCCGUGGCAGAGGGCCCCGUCCCGGGUGAGGGGGGUCCCCCGAGAAGGAACUAAAGCCAGAUACUAGCGGUCAAGGCGGACCCCUUCAGCAACUGGCCCACAGACCCGCUUCGUCGCUCUCGUGGGAAUUGAUGUUGAGAACUAAAUUCGUGUCAGAGUGAUUGGAUGUUUCUUUAUGUAUUGUUGUUAUGUUGGGUCUUAGUCGCAUUGUUUUUAAUUAUAGUUUUGAUAUUUUGAGGUAACUUCUUUGUGGAUUUGUGGGUUUUUGUUUGGUUGUUUUUUUUUUUUUUGUAACUAAACAUAAUAAUUGUAUUUUUUGUAAUGAUUUUAAUAAUUUUAAUUUUUGUGGUUUAACUGUAAUUUGGGGUAAUAGUGUAUAAAUUGUGUUUUAAUAGUUUAUAUUAUGUUAUGUUAUACUGUAUGUAUAGGAUUUCUUGAUUUACAAUUUAAAGUUUGUGAGGGAUAUAUGUUAUUUGUGAAGAGGUAAACUAACAAGGUAAG